UACGGAGGGGGCCAGCGUUGUUCGGAAUUAUUGGGCGUAAAGGGCGCGUAGGCGGCGAGGUAAGUCAGACGUGAAAUCCCCCGGCUCAACCGGGGAAUUGCGUCUGAAACUGCCCCGCUUGAGGCCGGGAGAGGAGAGUGGAAUUCCCAGUGUAGCGGUGAAAUGCGUAGAUAUUGGGAGGAACACCGGUGGCGAAGGCGGCUCUCUGGACCGGUUCUGACGCUGAGGCGCGAAAGCUAGGGGAGCAAACAGG
rnacentral:rRNA from 1 species